GAAAAGAGUUAGAAAUACAGAAGCUGCUAAUUAUCUGCCCCAUGGUUAAAUUCCAUGAUCUUUUCA
rnacentral:tRNA from 1 species